AGAGUUUGAUCCUGGCUCAGAGCGAACGCUGGCGGCAGGCUUAACACAUGCAAGUCGAGCGCCCCGCAAGGGGAGCGGCAGACGGGAGAGUAACACGUGGGAACGUACCCUUCAGUUCGGAACAACCCAGGGAAACUUGGGCUAAUACCGAAUACGUCCGUAAGGAGAAAGAUUUAUCGCUGAAGGAUCGGCCCGCGUCUGAUUAGCUAGUUGGUGGGGUAAUGGCCCACCAAGGCGACGAUCAGUAGCUGGUCUGAGAGGAUGAUCAGCCUCACUGGGACUGAGACACGGCCCAGACUCCUACGGGAGGCAGCAGUGGGGAAUAUUGGACAAUGGGGGCAACCCUGAUCCAGCCAUGCCGCGUGGGUGAUGAAGGCCUUAGGGUUGUAAAGCCCUUUCGGCGGGGAAGAUAAA
rnacentral:rRNA from 1 species